rnacentral:pre_miRNA from 12 species
AUAUAAAUCACUUGGGAUCUUGCUAAAAAAGCAGAUUCUGGUUUGAAACCUAAGAGUCUGCAUUUCUAACAAGCUCUCAGGUGAUGUCGAG